GAAAGCUAUUUAGGUAGCGCCUCGUGAAUUCAUCUCCGGGGGUAGAGCACUGUUUCGGCAAGGGGGUCAUCCCGACUUACCAACCCGAUGCAAACUGCGAAUACCGGAGAAUGUUAUCACGGGAGACACACGGCGGGUGCUAACGUCCGUCGUGAAGAGGGAAACAACCCAGACCGCCAGCUAAGGUCCCAAAGUCAUGGUUAAGUGGGAAACGAUGUGGGAAGGCCCAGACAGCCAGGAUGUUGGCUUAGAAGCAGCCAUCAUUUAAAGAAAGCGUAAUAGCUCACUGGUCGAGUCGGCCUGCGCGGAAGAUGUAACGGGGCUAAACCAUGCAC
rnacentral:rRNA from 1 species